rnacentral:rRNA from 1 species
GAUGAACGCUGGCGGCGUGCUUAACACAUGCAAGUCGAACGGAAAGGCCCUGCUUUUGUGGGGUGCUCGAGUGGCGAACGGGUGAGUAACACGUGAGUAACAUGCACUUGACUUUGGGAUAACUUCAGGGAAAUGGGGCUAAUACCGGAUAGGAGCUCCUGCUGCAUGGUGGGGGUUGGAAAGAUUCGGCGGUUGGGGAUGGACUCGCGGCUUAUCAGCUUGUUGGUGGGGUAGUGGCUUACAAAGGCUUUGAAGGGUAGGCGGCCUGAGAGGGGGACCGGCCUCAUUGGGACUGAGAGAGGGCCCAGAAUGCUACGGGAGGCAGCAGUGGGGAAUAUUGCACAAUGGGCGGAAGCCUGAUGCAGCAACGCCGCGUGCGUGAUGACGGCUUUCGGGUUGUAAACCUCUUUCGCCUGUGACGAAGCGAGAGUGACGGUAAUGGGUAAAGAAGCACCGGCUAACUACGUG